UCCAUGAAACAAACCUCAUAACUUUCAGAAGAAGACUGUGAAAAUUUCCCUCUUCUCUAAUGACUCUCGCUUAUGGAAGAAUUACUUCACAUCAAAGAGGUGACCCACCUGGAGGAAGGAUUUUUCUUGAGCAACUCAAAGACUGAGGACACAUGUGGGAUCCACUUCUAAUUAUUCAAAAGGUUUCUCAGAUGGUGGUUCCAGGUUUUGUUGCGGCACGCAGGAUCUUUAUUUCAGGAUAUGACGACAGAGUCGGCAGAAAAACUGCAUCUUGUCUCAGCCUGGAGAGUGAAAUAAUCAAGAAGCACAAUCUGUGCUCCUCAGUGAGGACAAACAAAGUUUCUGAAACCAUCUGGGAACAAAAGAUCAUUAUAGAUUUAUCUGAAUGGAACCAAUAUGUCAUGUGGAUGGAGCCCCAUAUCCAGGGUGAUCAGGGUGUUUGGAGCACGUAGUCGGAUAUACCUGGCCUUGACGAAUGCUGGGAGACUGGAGGUUUUGGCCCUGACUCUGCCACUCACAACCUGGGUGAGACUGAGUAAUUCACUUCUUUCCUGGUCUUCCGUUUUCUCAUCUAUAAAUAUUAGGUUUGGGACAUUUUCUCUCUGGGGUACUCCAUUUUCUUUCUGAAGUAUUUGAUUUUUG
rnacentral:lncRNA from 1 species